rnacentral:misc_RNA from 1 species
AACGGUCUAUACCUGCGGUACCUGCGGAGGGAUCAUUACAGGACUCGCAAGACUCCUACAACCCUGUGAACUUAACUAUAAGCACGUUGCUUCGGCGGGUGUCUCGGCGAGGGUUCUCCCUCCCCGGGGCGCUAAGCCCGCCGGCAGCCUACUAUACUCUGUCUCUUUGCGUUGGCAUCUCGAGUACAAACAAACAAGUUAAAACUUUCAACAACGGAUCUCUAGAUCGGAAGAGCACAC